UACGAAGGGGGCAAGCGUUGUUCGGAAUUACUGGGCGUAAAGGGCGCGUAGGCGGUGCACUAAGUCAGGCGUGAAAGCCCUGGGCUCAACCCGGGAAUUGCGCUUGAUACUGGUGCGCUUGAAUCCAGGAGAGGUUGGUGGAAUUCCCAGUGUAGAGGUGAAAUUCGUAGAGGAUUGGGAAGAACACCGGUGGCGAAGGCGGCCAACU
rnacentral:rRNA from 1 species